rnacentral:lncRNA from 1 species
CCAUUUUUAAGGUGGUGCCUUAAUUUUGAUGCUUAGUGUAUUUUUUUAUGUAAAUAAUAAAAGCCAAAGCAAUAUUAUUACUAAUAGCUAUAAUGUUCAACGUGUAGAUAAAUUUGGGAAAAGUCUAGUAUAUGGGAAAGAUAAAAUUUAAAAAAAUAUAAAUGUACCAGCUAUGGGUUUGUUGGGUAUAAGGAACACAAUAGUAAACAAGAGCGCAAAAUGCUGGAGUCAUUUUCCUGCAUAGAAAGACCCACCAACAAUUUGGGUCUAGAGGUAAAUGAUAAAACCAAAUAUAUGCCAAUAAAUGGUAGGCGUGAAGCUAUGCAAAUUACUCCAGUGGGUGAAAAAUAUACAAUUAGAGAUUCAGCACAGAAUUUAUCUAGCAAAUCAAGCGUACAAUGGACUUUUAAGACAUCUGAAAUUAAAUAUAUUUACCAGGGAAUCUAAAUACUGGAUCUAUAAAACUCUGAUCAAACCAAUAAUGACAAAGAAAAAUCAUUCGACUCGUAAUAUACGCGCGGUGAUAUAUGCGAAAAUGGCAUUUGGAGAAGACGAUACAAUUUCGAAUAGUACCGAGCCUACGGAGAACCUAAGGGGCUGUCCAUUAAUCACGUGAGGCUCGAAAGGGGGGAGGGUUCCAUAAAAAAUCACGAAACAUCACAAGGGGAGGGGGUGUAGGAAUAAUAUCACGUGUAUUUAUUUUUUCGGAAAAUGCCCGAAACUCAACUGAAAAGUGGCGUUACAUGUACAUAUUUAUUUUUUCGUCAAAUGCAUACAAAAAUCAAAAGUGGCAUUGGUGUGACUGAUAAAAAAAAUAUUUUCUCAUUCUAAUAUUAUAUAACCGGUAUAACCCAACAACACAUUAAUUUUCUUUUGGUUUCUUUUUCAAAUUUCUCUAGCGACACGGGAUACUUUACAUGGUAAUUAUUUUAAGUGCCUACGAUAAUAAGAAAGGACUCUUGCGAAUUCUUUUGUUUUGAAUGCAUCACCAGAUGGUUUCACUUAGGAAUAGAUACUGGUUAGGACCAAGGUCAGGACUCUGUCGUCUUCGAUAUGGGUUUUUAGUCUUAACAUGUAUUUAUACCUACUAUCUGAUAAAUUGGUAGAGUGGUGGGAGUUAUUCUGUUGAUUUGACACUGAAUAUAUACGAAUCUAUGUAAGAAUCGGAGACACAUUUUUUCUGUGUUUUUCUCUCUAUUUAACAAUAGAGUAUUUCACAUAUUCAAACAUAUUUAAUGUUUAUUGUUACAAAAUUUUGUACAGGGUGAUCAAAAUAUUAUAAUUACUAUUCUAUUAAUAAACUCCCCUAACAACACACAACAUUCCAGGAAUGUACUACCAAAGUUCUAUCAAUAUUUGAAUGUCCUGGACAUUUAGGGAACAUUCGGUGAACAUCUGUUUAAAUUAUUCCUGGAAUGUUACCAUAAGACAUUCUGUGAACAUACUACCAAUGUUCCUAUAUUUUAAGUUGCGAAAUAAUACAUACGUGUAACAGAUUCAGAUACAACAUUACUUAUAACAUACCAGACAAACUAAGUGACAUUUUAGGCCUACAGUGUCAAAUUUAAAGAGUUUCCCAAGUUCAAUUAAUACAAUAUUAUAAACAUACAAAUGUAAUAAAAAUUAUUGUUCGCGAAUAUUCAAUUUGGAAUGCGAUUUUGUUAAUAAAAAAAUACUUAUAACUUAUGCAAAACCCAAGAGAGGCAUUAUUUAUAUUUAUUUCUUUUGCGUUCAUUUUCAAAUUCGCCGUGCAUAUAUUUUUGUGCAUGGCGCUUGAGAGGGCAUCACGUGACUAAAAACGACCAACCAACGACCUCGCUUCGGCCAUCUUGGCAUCUUCAUUUUCAUUUCAUCUUGGCCACCUUGCCCGGCCUUGCCUUGCCGUGGAUAGUUUGUAUUAUUUGUGCUUUUUAAGAAUAUUUUUUUAAUUCGGAUACUUUUAUAAUAGCUUUAAUAGUAUUAUUAACAUAGUGCAUAAAAUGGUGUCCUGUUUUUGACGCAGUUGGAGUAGCAGAAACAGAUGUAGAUAAAAAAAUCUGCAGGAAUAACGUUUCAAUUAUGACAGAAGCUCGAAACAAAUGACUGUGAAUUAGUGUGAAUGAAAAGCCCUAUUAAAAGCUUUCCAGAAGAUCCUGCGAAGAAGACAUGAAGUAUAGAUCAGAUUUGUUAAUAGAGGAGUAUGUUCAAAACACUUUUUAGAAAAAGAUAUUGACAGAACUUCACUUUCAUCUGUUCGUUUGAGAGACUGUGCUGUUCCAAUAGCUUAUGUCACACAGAAUCAGCUGAGAGAAGUGGUCUACAAAAAACCAGAAAGGAAACGGAAUAUGUGGCUACGAAAAGCAAAAGAAAGGUUUACAAAGCAAAUGUGACACAUUUUUUUAUAAUAUUUAGGAAUGUCAGUAAAUUACAUUAAAAAAUGUAUGUAAAGAUUUUUUGCAAUAAAAAUGUUUAUAUUUAUCAAGGAUGUAUUAUUUGGUAUGGCCACAUAUCGUCAGUGAUGUGACAAUACCUCCUAUCUGUUUUUUUCAAGAGAUUUGUAAGAUAGACUAAAAACUUGUUUCGGUCACCUCCUGUUUUCAUAUAUUUUUUGACUUGUUUUGCAGUAAAUUCAACUAUCUAUUUACUACAAAAAAAGUCAGAAUACGUACGAAAACAGAAAGUGACCUUAAAAAAUGUUUUUCGUCUCCUGCAAACCUCAUGAAAAAACAUAUAGGAGGUAUUGUCACAUUACUGACGAUAUAUUUCAGUGAAUGUCUAAAAAAUAUACUGUGAAUGUUCAAAGAACGUUCGUA